CGACCCCAGGUCAGGCGGGGCUACCCGCUGAGUUUAAGCAUAUCAAUAAGCGGAGGAAAAGAAACUAACAAGGAUUCCCCUAGUAACGGCGAGCGAACCGGGAAAAGCCCACCAUGAGAAUCGGUCGCCCCCGGCGUCCGAAUUGUAGCAGA
rnacentral:rRNA from 1 species